rnacentral:lncRNA from 11 species
UUUUCGUAACACGAUAAAUAUUGUAUCUCCGAGCUCAGCAAUUUUUGAUAGGAUAAAUAAGAAUGUCCAAAAACCAGAAACGUGGUCUUGUGUAAGGAAAUCUUAUCUACAAAUUACGUAUUGUUGAUAUAAAAGUCGAUUGAUGGAACUUCCAAAAUAUUUUUCUCGUGAAUAGAAAAGAGAAACGCUUGCCGUAGGUAAAGAUAAAACGAACCAAAUGGCGGUCUAUGCACCUCCCGUGAUAAUCAAAUCAAAAUAUUCGUAGGAAUCUUGGAAUUUGUUCUUGUUAUAUCGCGCAAGACAUCUGCACUCCAUCCCGCGCUGCUUGACAGCCAACGGUCUACGUAUGAUAAAAAUCAAGGGCUGACAAAUCCGGUGAUCGCGGAGGUAAAGUUACCGUACCAAAUUUAAUUCGGGGAGCAAACCUGUGUAUGCAGUACGAUGGCCAGUAUUUUCAACAAUUUUUGCACUAAUAAAGUAAAUCUUAAGAAUUACGUACUUUGUUAUUACUCAUGUAUCUACGGUAUACUGACACACCCUGUAUAAUUCUGA